rnacentral:rRNA from 2 species
UGGGGAAUUUUGGACAAUGGGGGAAACCCUGAUCCAGCAAUGCCGCGUGAGUGAAGAAGGCCUUCGGGUUGUAAAGCUCUUUUGUCAGGGAAGAAACACCGGCUCUAACACAGUCCGGGAAUGACGGUACCUGAAGAAUAAGCACCGGCUAACUACGUGCCAGCAGCCGCGGUAAUACGUAGGGUGCAAGCGUUAAUCGGAAUUACUGGGCGUAAAGCGUGCGCAGGCGGUUAUACAAGACAGGCGUGAAAUCCCCGGGCUUAACCUGGGAAUGGCGCCUGUGACUGUAUAGCUAGAGUGUGUCAGAGGGGGGUAGAAUUCCACGUGUAGCAGUGAAAUGCGUAGAUAUGUGGAGGAAUACCAAUGGCGAAGGCAGCCCCCUGGGAUAACACUGACGCUCAUGCACGAAAGCGUGGGGAGCAAACAGGAUUAGAUACCCUGGUAGUCCACGCCCUAAACGAUGCUGACUAGUUGUUCGGGAUUUACAUCCUGAGUAACGUAGCUAACGCGUGAAGUCAGCCGCCUGGGGAGUACGGUCGCAAGAUUA